CAGACUACAGUACAUAAUACCAUACUGAUGAGCAGAGAUGCAAUUGAGCAAUGUUUAAUUACAAAAUGCAUAUAAUCCAAACUGCUUUCCAAUAGCUGCUGUCCUUGUAUAUAAACCCCCACACAGGAAGAAUUUACAGUAGGCACGUAACAUGUGAGAACUUGGUCAGAUAAAGCUAAACAUGUUCAUAUCACAUCACCAGAGGCUGUCAUGUCAUUUUAACAAGGUGUUAUUCCUUUCCAGGACUGUGGUAAGAAACAGAGGGAGAUUUCCAAAGCCAUAAAGAAAGCUAUGGGAUUCAUGUCUGGACCCACAUUAUGAAAGAUACAAACACCUUCGACAACCAGCACUUGGAGUAACUGUGUCAGCCUGUAUUGGGGAACUAGUGUAGCAUAUAUACUGUAAUAAUUGUAUUAAAAUAAUUCUUAAUGUGGAA